AUGCAGCUGGAAGGGGGGCCGUUACACUGUAAGAGAGUGAGUAGCAGGUCUCACAGUGAACCGAACUGCUGUGUCAUGCCAUUCC
rnacentral:pre_miRNA from 1 species